rnacentral:rRNA from 1 species
UGGGGAAUUUUGGACAAUGGGGGAAACCCUGAUCCAGCCAUCCCGCGUGUGCGAUGAAGGCCUUCGGGUUGUAAAGCACUUUUGUCAGGAAAGAAACGUCAUGGGUUAAUACCCCGUGAAACUGACGGUACCUGCAGAAUAAGCACCGGCUAACUACGUGCCAGCAGCCGCGGUAAUACGUAGGGUGCAAGCGUUAAUCGGAAUUACUGGGCGUAAAGCGUGCGCAGGCGGUUCGGAAAGAAAGAUGUGAAAUCCCAGGGCUCAACUUUGGAACUGCAUUUUUAACUACCGGGCUAGAGUGUGGCAGAGGGAGGAAGAAUUCCGCGUGUAGCAGUGAAAUGCGUAGAUAGGCGGAGGAACACCGAUGGCGAAGGCAGCCUCCUGGGAUAACACUGACGCUCAUGCACGAAAGCGUGGGGAGCAAACAGG